GACGUAGGGCGCAAGCGUUGUCCGGAUUUAUUGGGCGUAAAGAGCUCGUAGGCGGCUUGUCGCGUCGACUGUGAAAACCCGCGGCUUAACUGUGGGACUGCAGUCGAUACGGGCUAGCUAGAGUUCGGUAGGGGGAGACUGGAAUUCCUGGUGUAGCGGUGAAAUGCGCAGAUAUCAGGAGGAACACCGGUGGCGAAGGCAGGUCACUGGGCCGCAACUGACGCUGAGGAGCGAAAGCAUGGGGAGCGAACAGG
rnacentral:rRNA from 1 species